rnacentral:sRNA from 1 species
AGGCUGUCUUUCUAGCAUGUUGCCCUUUUUCAACCACAUUUGUGUUUCAGGUGUAGAGAGGAGAGAGAGUGAACAGGGAGCGGGGCUUUUGUCUGUUUAUUACCCAGAACUCUCUGUCUGGGUCAGUCAAGAACCAUUUCCAAACAAGGACAUGGAGGGAAGGCUUCCUAAGGGAAGACUUCCUGUCCCAAAGGAAGUGAACCGCAAGAAGAACGAUGAGACAAACGCUGCCUCCCUGACUCCACUGGGCAGCAGUGAACUCCGCUCCCCAAGAAUCAGUUACCUCCACUUUUUUUAAUCGUAACACCUCCAUUUGUAUUACAUAUGGUGUAUGGGUAUUGAUGAGGUCAUGGUAUCAUAUAUGGGAUUUUUUUCUGUGUAAAUCAUCAAGUAUAAGAAGAAACUAUGGGACUCUGAGCCUUGCUUUAGAGAAUUUACAGUGGACAAAUAGGUAUCAUCAAACCAGUUUUUAAUCAUUCUGACUCAAGUGAAAAUGCUCAGAAUUUCACACUGUGAAUCCACGUUUACAACCCUUACAGGUGGGCCUUCAGGCCUGGUUCGCUACAACAAUGUCUUC